rnacentral:rRNA from 1 species
GAUGAACGCUGGCGGCGUGCCUAAUACAUGCAAGUCGAGCGAACAGAUAAUGAUCUUGCUCCUUUGACGUUAGCGGCGGACGGGUGAGUAACACGUGUGUCACCUACCUAUAAGACUGGGAUAACUUCGGGAAACCGGAGCUAAUACCGUAUAACAUUUGGAACCGCAUGGUUCUAAGGUGAAAGAUGGUUUUUCUAGCACUUAUAGAUGGACCCCGGCCGGUUGAGCGAGUUGGUAAGGUAACGGCUUACCAAGGCGACGAUACGUAGCCGACGUGAGAGGGUGAUCGGCCACACUGGAGGUGAGACACGGUCCAGACUCCUACGGGAGGGAGCAGUAGGGAAUCUUACGCAGUGGGCGAAAGCCUGACGGAGCAACGCCGCGUGAGUGAUGAAGGGUUUCGGCUCGGAAAACUCUGUUAUUAGGGAAGAACAAAUGUGUCAGUAACUGUGCACGUCUUGACGGUAACUAAUAAGAAAGCAACGGCUAACUACGUG